rnacentral:lncRNA from 1 species
GUUCUUACUACACUAGGUUCUAGAGAUUUAUUUUGAAAACUUGAAAAUCACAUGAUGAGUUCCUAGCAUGACAAAACUCCUACCACAGCCAUACUUGCUAUAACAUCUUUUGCUAUAUUCACAAUGAGUUUGAUCGAGCUGUGUAGACCCUUAGGAGCUUUUUCAUGUGGUUAAAUUAAGAUAUUCACUUGCACACAUCUACUACACCAUCUACCACAAUUCAUUAAAAUUGCUAAAAAUAUUAUCACUCACUAUCCCAAGUGUUGUUAUUCUCUCUCUCCAAAAAGAUUCAAUGCAGAAGAGUGAGACAAGAGGUAAAAAAGGGGCAAGUGUCCGGAGUAGAAUUAGGGGUACAAAGAUGCCCACCUGAGCGGAAAAAACGGACAAGUGUCCGAUAGUAGAAUUAGGGGUAUUUACUACCCACCUGAAAAAAAGAGAGAAAAGAAAAAGAUAGCCCAUGUUCUCCCAAAGCAAAGAUCAAAGAGGAGGAGAGAUAGCAAUAUGAGGAGCAAUGAGAAGUAAGUUUUAUCAUUACUUAUAUUUUCACAAUUACUAUCAUUUACUCCACCACACAUGCACAUCUUGAUUUAAUUACAUGUUGAGUUCC